rnacentral:rRNA from 1 species
GCUUGUCUCAAAGAUUAAGCCAUGCAUGUCUAAGUAUAAACAAAUCUAUACGUGAAACUGCGAAUGGCUCAUUAUAUCAGUUAUAGUUUAUUUGAUGGUUCUUGCUACUUGGAUAACCGUAGUAAUUCUAGAGCUAAUACAUGCGUCAAACCUCGACUUCUGGGAGAGGUGUAUUUAUUAGAUGGAAACCAAUGCGGGGCAACCCGGUAUAUGGUGAUUCAUAAUAACUUUCGGAUCGAUCUUCGGAUCGAUGCAUCAUUCAAGUUUCUGCCCUAUCAGCUUUGGAUGGUAGGGUAUUGGCCUACCAUGGCUUUAACGGGUAACGGAGAAUUAGGGUUCGAUUCCGGAGAGGGAGCCUGAGAAAUGGCUACCACAUCCAAGGAAGGCAGCAGG